rnacentral:rRNA from 1 species
ACCCAGGUAUAUGAAAUCAGGAAAAACUGAGCAAAACCAUAUUUCACGGGUGUUUUCUGCGCAAAGGUGACGAGCACACAACGCGAUGAAAGCGCUAAUCACAUGUUGAAGGCGUACAUGCCACCGGCAAGUCCGAUGCAUGUUUUUGUUAGGCAGUACAUGAGGUUACAGUUUGACCGCGAGCGCGAGGAAAGCUAUGAAGAGAAGAGGACGAUGGUAGUAAUUUUUCUUUUGGUUUCGCUCAACACAUUUAGUUUGUGA